GAUGCAGCGACGCCGCGUGAAGGAAGAAGUAUCUCGGUAUGUAAACUUCUAUCAGCAGGGAAGAUAAUGACGGUACCUGACUAAGAAGCCCCGGCUAACUACGUGCC
rnacentral:rRNA from 1 species